rnacentral:rRNA from 1 species
AUUGAACGCUGGCGGCAGGCCUAACACAUGCAAGUCGACCGAGUGGCGGACGGGUGAGUAAUGUCUGGGAAACUGCCUGCUGGAGGGGGAUCACUACUGGACACGGUAGCUAAUACCGCAUACCAUCAGAUGUGCCCAGAUGGGAUUAGCUCGUUGGUGGGGUAACGGCUCACCAAGGCGACGAUCACUCGCUGGUCUGAGAGGAGGACCAGCCAUACUGGAACAGAGAAACGGCCCAGACGCCGAGGGGAGGCAGCAGUGGGGAAGAUGGCACAAUGGGCGCAAGCCUGCUGCAGCGAUGCCGCGUGUAUGAAGAAGGCCUUCGGGUUGUAAAGUACUUCCAGCGGGGAGGCGUGACCCGCAGAAGAAGCCCCGGCUAAUUCCGUGCCAGCAGCCGCGGUAAUUC